GGGUACGUGGUGUAGUGGUAUCACGUUUGCUUCGCAUGCGAUAGGCCCCGGGUUCAAUUCCCGGCGUAUCCA
rnacentral:tRNA from 1 species